UAUCGCGAGUACUAAACACCUC
rnacentral:miRNA from 1 species